GAAGUGCAAGAGGUUGUGGAGGAGGCUUUCGUGGACAAGCCACAAGAUUUAGAACUUGUCUCCGUUGGUCGAAAGCCAAAGAAGCAAAUGAAAUAUUCCCCAAGGAAAUUGUGGUCACCAACGGGGGCAGUGGAGUUGACCAAACUGAAACAACAAGCAAAGAUGGAUAGACAGAAGAUUGAUCACCUUGAGGACCACAUUAAAUACCUGGAGGAGGCCAACAGGGAGCUGAAAAAGGACAAAGACUUCCUUCUUACACAAAUUAAGGAAGCCACUGUGGCACCUGCAUCUAGCAGCAAGUCAGGCUCUAGAGAGAUUGCUCAGGUUCCUCUAUCUUCAACAUCUACUACCCCCUCCUCUUCUUCCACAGACUU